rnacentral:rRNA from 1 species
UACAGAGGUCUCAAGCGUUGUUCGGAUUCAUUGGGCGUAAAGGGUGCGUAGGCGGCUUGUUGCGUCGGCUGUGAAAACCCAUGGCUCAACCGUGGGCUUGCAGCCGAUACGGGCAGGCUAGAGUUCGGUAGGGGAGACUGGAAUUCCUGGUGUAGCGGUGAAAUGCGCAGAUAUCAGGAGGAACACCGGUGGCGAAGGCGGGUCUCUGGGCCGAUACUGACGCUGAGGAGCGAAAGCGUGGGGAGCGAACAGG